rnacentral:misc_RNA from 1 species
UAGGCUUAUCAACACACAUCUCUAAAGCCUAACAAGUAAAAGACAAUCAUAAAAUUCAAAAUUCAAACCCGAAGAAACAAGGAACGCAAUCCUGAGAUGAUGAAUGGAUGAUAAAUCUCAUGCUUAGAAUUAGGUUCCUUACUGCAUUUUACUAACUUCAGCUUAAGUCAACCUCAGGUCAAUAUAAUGAUUCAAGAAGUAAAAGGAAAACAAAAUCACAGAUUUCCCAAACAAAAUCAAUCAGAAAUGGAUCAUCAUCAGCAACAAAUUGCAUAUGGGAAAACUAAAAUCGGCUCAUUGCAUCCAAUUUUUUAGCCCAAAGCAAGCAUCAAAUGCAGGGUAAAGGGCCAUUUCGAUUGUUUGGAUUUAAGCAAAGAUAAGAACGUUAGACCAUAACAUAUGUUUAGACAAUUUCCUAUUCCUAAAUAAAUUGCCAAAACGGAUAAGAAAAUAGAAAAGCAGAAAGGAAAAGGGGAA